rnacentral:rRNA from 1 species
GAUGAACGCUAGCUACAGGCUUAACACAUGCAAGUCGAGGGGAAACGACAUCGAAAGCUUGCUCUUGAUGGGCGUCGACUGGCGCACGGGUGAGUAACGCGUAUCCAACCUGCCCACCACUUGGGGGUAACCUUGCGAAAGUAAGACUAAUACCCAAUGAUAUCUCUAGAAGACAUCUGAAAGAGAUUAAAGAUUUAUCGGUGAUGGAUGGGGAUGCGUCUGAUUAGCUUGUUGGCGGGGUAACGGCCCACCAAGGCUACGAUCAGUAGGGGUUCUGAGAGGAAGGUCCCCCACAUUGGAACUGAGACACGGUCCAAACUCCUACGGGAGGCAGCAGUGAGGAAUAUUGGUCAAUGGACGAGAGUCUGAACCAGCCAAGUAGCGUGCAGGAUGACGGCCCUAUGGGUUGUAAACUGCUUUUAUAAGGGAAUAAAGUGAGUCUCGUGAGACUUUUUGCAUGUACCUUAUGAAUAAGGACCGGCUAAUUCCGUGCCAGCCGCCGCCGUAA